GACGAACGCUGGCGGCGUGCUUAACACAUGCAAGUCGAACGGAAAGGCCCUGCUUUUGUGGGGUUCUCGAGUGGCGAACGGGUGAGUAACACGUGAGUAACCUGCCCUUGACUUUGGGAUAACUUCAGGAAACUCGGGCUAAUACCGGAUAGGAGCUCCUGCUGCAUGGUGGGGGUUGGAAAGUUUCGGCGGUUGGGGAUGGACUCGCGGCUUAUCAGCUUGUUGGUGUGGUAGUGGCUUACCAAGGCUUUGACGGGUAGCCGGCCUGAGAGGGUGACCGGCCACAUGAGGACUGAGAUACGGCCCAGACUCCUACGGGAGGCAGCAGGGGGGAAUAUUGCACAAUGGGCGGAAGCCUGAUGUAGCAACGCCGGGUGCGGGAUGACGGCCUUCGGGUUGUAAACCGCUUUCGCCUGUGACGAAGCGUGAGUGACGGUAAUGGGUAAAGAAGCACCGGCUAACUACGUG
rnacentral:rRNA from 1 species